AUCGCUGUGAAACUGCUGGACAACAGAGCCAGCAGGAGGGUAGCAGCCAGCAGCCGUCUGUCCCUGCAGAUCCCAACCCAGGCACCCUCCUUCUGCGGAGUGAUGGGAACAUAUCUCACUUUCAUAUCUUCUCCUUUCUCAGGGCAAAAACAGAGGCGCGGUGGUGGCAGGUUCUUUGCAGACUUAUCCAUUCCAAGAGGAGCACUUUGAAGGUCUGGGCCUUUGGACACGACAGUCUGCAAAAGUGAUUUAUCCUGAUGCUUCCUUAGGAUGGAUUAAGGCAUGCCAUACACUUCCAAUCAGCCAUCUUGGAUGGGCACUACUCAAAGUCUUUUAAGGGAAAGCAAGAUACAGACCCAUAAUGGUGAACUGUAAGACUAUUUUAAUCAUCUGGAAUCAUCAACUAAAACACAAAUGGGAGGAAAACAACCAUCAAAAUUUCUUAGAGAGUAUUUUAUGAAGUCUGAAGACAAGGAGACAGUCCAACAACAACCAUAUGACUGAAGAGAUGUUUGGGGCUUAGGAACUCAGCAGCAGUUCAUAUGUAGAAAAUGUUUUUGAUUAUCAGCCUAAAUGCACAAAGGACUGCCAUAUUCUUGGGAAAAGGAAAUGCAAACAUUUUCAUCCACACGAUUAGAAUAAGAUUCACUACUUUCAGUGAAACUCGUGGUUUUAUUGAACCAUUAGAUAACUUAACGUCCUAAGAUAGACUUUACAUGAAUAGAAUUCUUAAAAAGACUGAAUACAAACUAUCUGACAUUAAUCAAGCUGUUCAUGUAUCAAUUUAUUGCAUGUCAGUACAGAAAAAUAGAUAGUAUACCUUAAGAGAAAUGUAAAAAAAAAAAAAAAGAAAA